UUUCCGUAGGUGAACCUGCGAAGAUCAUUAAAAAUUGGAUCCAUUGGUGAGCUCAUUAUAAUCCUACCCUUGAAUUUGUUUGUUUGAAUAAUUUUUUUCCAAAAAAAAUUAUUGAAUGUCUUUCCUUGUUUGGUGAGCUGUAAGUGAACAGGCAGGGAAUGGCAGCAAUAAUUAUUUUGAAAAGACUUUUUUAAAUUAAACUUUUUGUAUUCAUUUGUCUAAAAUUAUUUUAUAAUAUAAAACAACUUUUGACAAUGGAUCUCUUGGUUCUCGCAACGAUGAAGAACGCAGCAAAUGCGAUAAUAGUGUGAAUUGCAGAAUACGUGAUCAUCGAAUCUUCGAACGCAUAUGCACUUUUUUAGUUACUAAAAAGUAUGUCUGUUUGAGUAUCGGUAAAUAUUCUCAUAAAACACUGUUUUUUUAUGGUUAUGAGUGUUUUACAACGAUAACAAGUUGUUUCACUUUAAAUUCUUUGUUAAAAAAUCAUUAAAGCUAAUUUAAAAUUUUUAAAAUUGGAUAAAUUUCCCGUAAAAGGAAUAACCUAAACAAUUUUAAAAUUAAAUUGGUUGAUUUUUUUUGAAACCAAAGGAAAAAAAAACGAAAUUAACUUGAUCUCAAAUCAGAUAAGAGUACCGCUGAACUUAAGCAUAUCAAUAAGCGGAGGAAAGAAACUAACUAGGAUUCCCUCAGUACGGCGAGUGAAGCGGGAAGAGCUCAAAUUUGAAAUCUUCAAGGUUUUACCUUGACGAAUUGUAGUUUAAAGAGGUUUCUGUUGAGUUUUGGUAAAGUUCUUUGGAAAGACAUCAUAGAGGGUGAGAAUCCCGUAUUUGACCAUUAUCUCCAGCUUUGUGAUACACUUCAAAGAGUCGACUGUUUGGAAUGCAGUCCAAAUGGUGGUAAAUUCAUCUAAAGCUAAAUACUGGCGAGAACGAUAGCGAACAAGUACCGUGAGGGAAAGAUGAAAAGAACUUGAAAGAGAGUAAACAGUACGUGAAUUGUCAAAGGGAAGCGUUGACACCAGUGUUGUUUCUCGAAAAUCAAUUAAAAGCGAUUUUGUGUUGUAUUGACUUUAUCAGUUUCUGCACUCUUUCUUGUCUUUUUAAUGCACUUUCGUUAACAAGUCACAUCAUUUCUUUUGUUUAAAAGGGUCAUUGGAAGUGGCUUUCUUUUCGGAGAAAGUGUUUAUAGCCUUUGCCUCUGCAAUCGGAGAGAUUGAGGUCUGCAGCGUAGAUCCUCGGGGUUAGAUACAUUGUGCUAAGUUAUAGCCUUCAUAGACAACUUGUUGACUAUAUCAGUCAUGUAGCUUACUCGCUUAUGCUAUUU
rnacentral:misc_RNA from 1 species